rnacentral:misc_RNA from 1 species
GAUAAAGAACGUAGCGAAAUGCGAUACGUAAUGUGAAUUGCAAAUUCAGUGAAUCAUCGAGUCUUUGAACGCACAUUGCGCCCCCUGGUAUUCCGGGGGGCAUGCCUGUCCGAGCGUCAUUUCUGCCCUCAAGCACGGCUUGUGUGUUGGGCCCCGUCCUCCGAUUCCGGGGGACGGGCCCGAAAGGCAGCGGCGGCACCGAGUCCGGUCCUCGAGCGUAUGGGGCUUUGUCACCCGCUCUGUAGGCCCGGCCGGCGCUUGCCGAUCAACCCAAAUUUUUAUCCAGGUUGACCUCGGAUCAGGUAGGGAUACCCGCUGAACUUAAGCAUAUCAGCGGAGGA